rnacentral:misc_RNA from 1 species
UACAGAGGGUGCGAGCGUUAAUCGGAUUUACUGGGCGUAAAGCGUGCGUAGGCGGCUUUUUAAGUCGGAUGUGAAAUCCCUGAGCUUAACUUAGGAAUUGCAUUCGAUACUGGGAAGCUAGAGUAUGGUAGAGGAGAGUGGAAUUUCUGGUGUAGCAGUGAAAUGCGUAGAGAUCGGAAGGAACACCAGUGGCGAAGGCGGCUCUCUGGACCAAUACUGACGCUGAGGUGCGAAAGCGUGGGGAGCAAACAGG